rnacentral:lncRNA from 1 species
CACCCCUUGCACUGGGGGGCAAAAUCUUAAUCAGAGAAGUCCUGAUUCUCCAAUGCUUGAAGCAGGAGUAGAGCACUGUGAGUUUUAGAAUUCAUUCAGCUCAGGAAAAAAAAAAAGGUUUCUAAAGCUAAGAAGUCUCUUCGCUGUAAUAUUUAGACUUUUGGCACUUAUUCAGCCUUUUCUUACAUGCACACACUGGAAAACAGGAAGCUGGAGAAAGCCUUGGAGAAGGUUGUAGAAAAAGCCGUAUAUUACAGGAAGCUCUUUUCUCUGUGCCCAGAGGAGACGCAGAAGGCACCAUGUGAACACGGUGGAUUCUUUACUGCUGAGCCACCGGGGAAGAUCCCAGACAGAGAUGCAGCCUUCCUCAAAAGUAUCCUCAGGUUUUCAUUGGUUCAACAUAAGUGGCUGCUCCAGACUUUGAACAUCUUCAGUGAAACCUUGUGAGAAGGUUUAACCUUUCUCUGGUCACGUAUCAAAACUCCAAGUGAAUUGGAACACUUAGAACAUAACUAUUCUGACAGGAGGCACUAUUUCAAGGUAUGAAAAUGAGUUUUGCAUGUAGUUUUGCAUUAUUGUUCCAGGACAUAUUAGAUUCAUAACACUGGACUUAAAGAAAAAAUCUAUAACUCUCAAACUUCUUCAUAGAAUGAGAAGUACAAAUGGUCUCUUCAAGGCUGUUGUGUUGUUUAAUCAGAUAGCAUCUGAGAUUCCUUGUUGUUUUGUUCUUAACAUGUUAAAAUGGUAUUUAACUAGUUUUGGCUAAUCUAUGACUAAUGUUUGGGCUUCCCAAGUGGGAAGAAUCUGCCUACCAAUGCAGGAGAUGUGGGUUUGAUUCCUGAGUCAGAAAGAUCCCCUGGACGAGGAAAUGGCAAUCCUCUCCAGUAUUUUUGCCUAGUGAAUCCCAUGGACAGAGGAGCCUGGUGGGCUACAAUCCACAGAGUUGCAAAGAGUCGGACACGACCAGACGCACACAUACACACCUGUCUGAUGUUAUAUAUAUAAUAGUAUAUAUGACCCUAUGUGC